UACGAAGGGGGCUAGCGUUGCUCGGAAUCACUGGGCGUAAAGGGUGCGUAGGCGGGUUUUUAAGUCAGAGGUGAAAUCCUGGAGCUCAACUCCAGAACUGCCUUUGAUACUGAAAGUCUUGAGUAUGGGAGAGGUGAGUGGAACUGCGAGUGUAGAGGUGAAAUUCGUAGAUAUUAGGAAGAACACCAGUGGCGAAGGCGGCUUACUGGUCCGGUACUGACGCUGAGGUGCGAAAGCGUGGGGAGCAAACAGG
rnacentral:rRNA from 1 species